AACGAACGCUGGCGGCAUGCCUAAUACAUGCAAGUCGAACGAGACCUUCGGGUCUAGUGGCGCACGGGUGCGUAACGCGUGGGAAUCUGCCCUUGGGUUCGGGAAUAACAGUUGGAAACGACUGCUAAUACCGGAUGAUGACGAAAGUCCAAAGAUUUAUCGCCCAGGGAUGAGCCCGCGUAGGAUUAGCUAGUUGGUGA
rnacentral:rRNA from 1 species